rnacentral:misc_RNA from 1 species
GAUCACAUUCAAAGUGUUGGGAACCCCAAAGAAAUUGCGCAUGUCAGCGAAAUGAUGAUGAUGGUUGGAAAGAGGGAUCUUGGGUGUGGCAAACAUGAGGAAAACCCAAAACAGGAAUGCUCCUCCCCAAAUGCGACUUCUCUUUCCCCUUCCUAUCUCUACCUGUUGAUUUACCGACCAACCCAUCUCUCCCUCUCUCUCUGUUUUGCUUCCUCUUUGCUUUCCGCUAUAAAAGUAGUUAUCUUUUGAUGCUUCUCUUUCUCUCUCUCGCUCUCUAAGUUCUCAAUCUUCUCUGGCUGUUUCUUUUACUUGUUUGAGAGACUGUUGGUUGCAGUGUCGUUAUGCAGAUUUUUGUAUUCAUGGUUCACUUCGGUCUGAUUUGACGAUG